rnacentral:rRNA from 1 species
UGGGGAAUAUUGGACAAAGGGCGAAAGCCUGAUCCAGCCAUGCCGCGUGUGUGAAGAAGGUCUUCGGAUUGUAAAGCACUUUAAGUUGGGAGGAAGGGCAUUAACCUAAUACGUUAGUGUUUUGACGUUACCGACAGAAUAAGCACCGGCUAACUCUGUGCCAGCAGCCGCGGUAAUACAGAGGGUGCAAGCGUUAAUCGGAAUUACUGGGCGUAAAGCGCGCGUAGGUGGUUUGUUAAGUUGGAUGUGAAAUCCCCGGGCUCAACCUGGGAACUGCAUUCAAAACUGACUGACUAGAGUAUGGUAGAGGGUGGUGGAAUUUCCUGUGUAGCGGUGAAAUGCGUAGAUAUAGGAAGGAACACCAGUGGCGAAGGCGACCACCUGGACUAAUACUGACACUGAGGUGCGAAAGCGUGGGGAGCAAACA